UGCAAUAAUCCAGGCAAUGGAUAAGUGCCC
rnacentral:piRNA from 2 species